GUCGAGCGAGCUGAACCAACAGAUUCACUUCGGUGAUGACGUUGGGAACGCGAGCGGCGGAUGGGUGAGUAACACGUGGGGAACCUGCCCCAUAGUCUGGGAUACCACUUGGAAACAGGUGCUAAUACCGGAUAAGAAAGCAGAUCGCAUGAUCAGCUUAUAAAAGGCGGCGUAAGCUGUCGCUAUGGGAUGGCCCCGCGGUGCAUUAGCUAGUUGGUAGGGUAACGGCCUACCAAGGCAAUGAUGCAUAGCCGAGUUGAGAGACUGAUCGGCCACAUUGGGACUGAGACACGGCCCAAACUCCUACGGGAGGCAGCAGUAGGGAAUCUUCCACAAUGGACGAAAGUCUGAUGGAGCAACGCCGCGUGAGUGAAGAAGGUUUUCGGAUCGUAAAGCUCUGUUGUUGGUGAAGAAGGAUAGAGGUAGUAACUGGCCUUUAUUUGACGGUAAUCAACCAGAAAGUCACGGCUAACUACGUGCCAGCAGCCGCGGUAAUACGUAGGUGGCAAGCGUUGUCCGGAUUUAUUGGGCGUAAAGCGAGCGCAGGCGGAAGAAUAAGUCUGAUGUGAAAGCCCUCGGCUUAACCGAGGAACUGCAUCGGAAACUGUUUUUCUUGAGUGCAGAAGAGGAGAGUGGAACUCCAUGUGUAGCGGUGGAAUGCGUAGAUAUAUGGAAGAACACCAGUGGCGAAGGCGGCUCUCUGGUCUGCAACUGACGCUGAGGCUCGAAAGCAUGGGUAGCGAACAGGAUUAGAUACCCUGGUAGUCCAUGCCGUAAACGAUGAGUGCUAAGUGUUGGGAGGUUUCCGCCUCUCAGUGCUGCAGCUAACGCAUUAAGCACUCCGCCUGGGGAGUACGACCGCAAGGUUGAAACUCAAAGGAAUUGACGGGGGCCCGCACAAGCGGUGGAGCAUGUGGUUUAAUUCGAAGCAACGCGAAGAACCUUACCAGGUCUUGACAUCUAGUGCAAUCCGUAGA
rnacentral:rRNA from 1 species